AAUAGAACACAGCGACAGGCAGUAAGGACCAGGAGAACAGAGCAACUUGCUGUGGAGACCAGUAGGACACAGCGACAAGCAGUGAGGACAAGUAGAACACAGCGACAGGCAGUGAGGACCAGGAGAACAGAGCAACUAGCAGUGAGGACCAGGAGAAGAGAGCAACUAGCUGUGGAGACCAGUAGGACACAGCGACAAGCAGUGAGGACCAGCAGAACACAGCAGCAAGCGGUGAAGUCUUGCAGCUUCUGCCUGUCCCACAGCACCAGCUGCCCUUCAGUUGAUGGUGAAUAGAGAUCUGAUUAGCAUCAUUCAAUGGCUGUCAGGAAUUUUGAUGAAAGACUAGAUGUCACUGCUUUUGUGGAUAAUAAUUUUUAGAAGCACCUGUUUCUUCAGUGAACGAGGAAAUGACCUUCUAGCAGGCUAGGCCUGCGACUCCCGGACUUCAGCGUGAGGAUCUUCCAUGGAAAUCCCACUAUGAAUGGCAGUAAGACUUGAUCCUCACCUGUGGUUCUCCUGAGUUCAGUAGAGAGAAGCAAGUAGCCCCAACAGAUGCAGCAGAACAUGUUAGAGGUCAGAUAAUAAAGAGGACGUCCACCCCUCUCCACCCAAGAAAACUAAUCAGAACAACAAAAUACCCAAGGUGCAGCUGGCAGAGUGCAAACCUGGAGCUGCUGGUGGCCUUCCUGCCACUUGAAGAGACCCUGGGAAUGGAGCCAACACAGGGACAUGCAGAGAGACAAACUUCUGACAAUAACACUUAAAUACUUGGAUGCUGUCAUUUCUGAAGCUUCUGACAAUAACACUUAAAUACUUGGAUUCUGUCAUUUCUGAAGCUGUGUUGAUUCCU